rnacentral:rRNA from 1 species
GAUGUAGGCGGGCCUGUAAGUCGGAUGUGAAAUCUGUAAGCUCAACUUGCAGACCGUGUCCGAUACUACUGGUCUUGAGCACGGGAGAGGAGAGUGGAACUCCCAGUGUAGCGGUGGAAUGCGUAGAUAUUGGGAGGAACACCAGUGGCGAAGGCGGCUCUCUGGCCCGUUGCUGACGCUGAGGUCCGAAAGCUGGGGGAGCGAACA